AUUCAAUGAUGUUCUAAAAUUUUCUGACAUCUCUAAUGAAGCGUUGUGAUUCAAACUUAUUAAUAUAAUUAACUGAUGAU